UACGGAGGAUCCAAGCGUUAUCCGGAAUCAUUGGGUUUAAAGGGUCCGUAGGCGGUUUUGUAAGUCAGUGGUGAAAGCCCAUCGCUCAACGGUGGAACGGCCAUUGAUACUGCAAGACUUGAAUUAUUAGGAAGUAACUAGAAUAUGUAGCGUAGCGGUGAAAUGCUUAGAUAUUACAUGGAAUACCAAUUGCGAAGGCAGGUUACUACUAAUGGAUUGACGCUGAUGGACGAAAGCGUGGGGAGCGAACAGG
rnacentral:rRNA from 1 species